rnacentral:sRNA from 1 species
AUGAUAAUGUGAAAUUCAAUGGUAUUAAAUUAGCUAAAACGAAUACGAUAAAAAAGUAGAGAAAUAUGAUCAAACUUUUAAAGGUGUUUCUGCAAAAGGAAACGAAGCAAGUCAAUUGCAAUUUGUAGUUAAAAAUAAUAUUUCAUUAAAAGAUAUCCAAAAAGCUUAUGGCAAGGACUUGAAAAAAGAAAAUGGUAAAACAAAGGAAGCUGAUAGCGGUAUUUUUUACUAUCAAAAUGCUAAAAAGACAUUAGGCAUCUGGUUUGUCGUUGAUCAUAAUAGAGUUGUCGAAGUAACAGUUGGACAUACACCAUACA